rnacentral:rRNA from 1 species
CUUAGCCAUGCAAGUCUCAGUACGAGCUGACUUAAAGUGAAACCGCAAAAGGCUCAGUAAACCGGUCAUAGUUUACCGGAUAUAUGCCACUCACGUGGAUAACUGUGGUAAUUCUAGAGCUAAUACAUGCAACCAAGUCCCGACCAGCGAUGGGAAGGACGCUUUUAUUGGAUCAAAACCAUUCGCCCGGCCCGCCCGGGCGUCUGCUUGAUGACUCUAGAUAACACCACAGAUCGCACGGUCACAGUACCGGCGACGUAUCCGUCAAAUGUCUGACUUAUCAGCUGUCGAUGGUAGACUCUGUGUCUACCAUGGCGCUCACGGGUGACGGGGAAUCAGGGUUCGAUUCCGGAGAGGGAGCCUGAGAAACGGCUACCACAUCCAAGGAAGGCAGCAGGCACGCAAAUUACCCACUCCCGGCACGGGGAGGUAGUGACAAAAAAUAACGAUACGGGACUCAUCCGAGGCCCCGUAAUCGGAAUGAGAACACCCUAAAUCCUUUAACGAGGAUCUAUUGGAGGGCAAGUCUGGUGCCAGCAGCCGCGGUAAUUCCAGCUCCAAUAGCGUAUAUUAAAGUUGUUGCGGUUAAAAAGCUCGUAGUUGGUUCUGCGUGCCACGCUGUCGGUUCACCGCCUGUCGGUGCAACUGGCAUGCCGUGGCAUGUCCUGUCGGUGGCCGACAGGCUUCGCGGCGCGCCCUGUGCGUUCACGCGUGCAGGUCGUCGCGCCUCGUCGUCCUUGUAGGCCGGCUCAAUCCUACCGCGGUGCUCUUUGCCGAGUGUCGAGGUAGGCCGACACUGUUUACUUUGAACAAAUUAGAGUGCUUCAAGCAGGCUCUGAAAGCAGCCUGAAUAGUGGUGCAUGGAAUAAUGGAACAGGACCUUGGUUCUAUUUUGUUGGUUUCGGA